GGGAACGCACAGGAGUCGCGAGCCUCCCUCGCCCCCUCCGCGAGUCCGGGGCCGCGGACUGAGCCGCGCGGGACAGCAGCGGCGGAGGCAGCCAGGAGAAGAUGCGGGGCUCGGGGCCCCCGGGUGCGGGACGCCGGAGGCCCCCGGGCAACGGCGGCGGUGGCGGCGGCGGCGGCCACCCCAGCACCCCUGCGUCUCUGGCCGGCUGCUACUCCGCACCUCGCAGGGCCCCCCUCUGGACGUGCCUUCUCCUGUGCGCGGCGCUCCGGACCCUCCUGGCCAGCCCCAGCAACGAAGUGAAUUUAUUGGAUUCACGUACUGUCAUGGGGGACUUGGGAUGGAUUGCUUUUCCAAAAAAUGGGUGGGAGGAGAUUGGCGAAGUUGAUGAAAAUUAUGCCCCUAUCCACACAUACCAAGUAUGCAAAGUUAUGGAACAGAAUCAGAAUAACUGGCUUUUGACCAGUUGGAUUUCCAAUGAAGGUGCUUCCAGAAUCUUUAUAGAACUCAAGUUUACUCUGCGUGACUGCAACAGUCUUCCUGGAGGAUUGGGAACCUGUAAGGAAACCUUUAACAUGUAUUACUUUGAGUCGGAUGAUGAGAAUGGGAGAAACAUCAAGGAAAACCAGUACAUCAAAAUUGAUACCAUUGCUGCCGAUGAAAGCUUUACAGAGCUUGAUCUUGGUGACCGCGUUAUGAAACUGAAUACAGAGGUCAGAGAUGUAGGACCUCUAAGCAAGAAAGGAUUUUAUCUUGCCUUUCAAGAUGUGGGUGCUUGCAUUGCUCUGGUUUCUGUGCGUGUGUACUAUAAAAAAUGCCCUUCUGUGGUACGUCACUUGGCUGUGUUCCCUGACACAAUCACUGGAGCUGACUCCUCGCAGUUGCUUGAAGUGUCAGGUUCCUGUGUCAACCAUUCUGUGACAGACGAACCACCCAAAAUGCACUGCAGCGCUGAAGGGGAGUGGCUGGUGCCCAUCGGGAAAUGCAUGUGCAAGGCAGGAUAUGAGGAGAAAAAUGGCACCUGUCAAGUGUGCAGACCUGGGUUCUUCAAAGCCUCACCUCACAGCCAGACCUGCAGCAAAUGUCCACCUCACAGUUUUACCCAUGAGGAAGCUUCAACCUCUUGUGUCUGUGAAAAGGAUUAUUUCAGGAGGGAAUCUGAUCCACCCACAAUGGCAUGCACAAGACCCCCCUCUGCUCCUCGGAAUGCCAUCUCAAAUGUUAAUGAAACUAGUGUCUUUCUGGAAUGGAUUCCCCCUGCUGACACUGGUGGAAGGAAAGAUGUCUCAUAUUAUAUUGCAUGCAAGAAGUGCAACUCCCAUGCAGGUGUGUGUGACGAGUGUGGAGGUCAUGUCAGGUACCUCCCCCGGCAAAUCGGCCUGAAAAACACCUCUGUCAUGAUGGUGGAUCUGCUCGCUCACACAAACUAUACCUUUGAGAUUGAGGCAGUGAAUGGAGUGUCCGACUUGAGCCCAGGAGCCCGGCAAUAUGUGUCUGUAAAUGUAACCACAAAUCAAGCAGGUAAGUGUGAUGUCCAACCAAAUCAUGUACCUUGGGCCGAGUUCUGUCAACUUUCUCCGUAGCUAAGUGAGGGCUAAACUGUGAGAUCUAUAAGAGAACUUCUCAUAAACCAGAGGACUUAAAGUAGAAUACAUCUCAAAAUGCUUCCUAUAAAAAUAAAAGCUAGGGCUUUCUUAGCACUCUCAUCCGUGGACAGGGGGUUAAGAAUAAGAUAAUUUUCCAUUGAAUUUUUUUUAUUACUAAAAAGACAUUUUUGGCUCAUUCGUAGCAAAAUUUUAUCUCAAAUUUCACACAUGCAAUUAUCAUAGCUCAAAUCUACAUAUUUUGUUGUUUUCUUUACUUCAUGUUUUUUGUUUAUUUUAUUAAUUUAACAGAUAAUCAAUCGGGUUCUGUUUGCUUGUUUGUUUGGCACCACAGCUGAAUUUUCUUUGCAUAUUGAAAUAGGCUUUUCUUGUCAUUUCUAUUAUAAUAAUAAUAAAAACGUACAAAAUGAAUUUUUCUUUGCCAAAUCCACUUAUCAAAAUUAGAAUAACUGUGAACUAUACAUGAAAACACAUUUAUGUUCCAUAUAAAGCUCUUGAAAUUUCUCGAGAGUAAUUAUUAGACGGUAGAGAAUUCAGGUCUGCUUGUGCUAAAAUUCCCCCAUAGUUUCCACUCAGAUAUUCCAUUUUAAGUAAAUCAAUAUAGAGGGCGUCUUUCCUGGUAAAAUAAAAACCAAAGAUAAACUAUGAUUAAAUUAAAAUUCAACCUGUUUUGUAAGAAGAAUUGUUCAAAGCCUAUGGAUAAUUUAUGACUUGUUUUUGUCAACAAUGGGGUAUCUGGGUGGGAUGAGGCAUUAAAUGUCACUUCCCUCUAUUCCCUGGCCACAGCUCUCAGUCCAUGGGCAUAAAAUCGCCAUCUCAUUAGCACACCAGGUGGACUUUCAUCAGUGAAGACAUCGUUGCUAGCAGUACUCACAAUGAAAUAGGAUAUGUUUGGCUGAAUCAUUUUGGACUUAGUUCAUAUAAACAUUAGUGUAAGUUUGUAGGUUGUAGAAUGACUUGGUUGACUGGAGAAUGCUGUCGGUAAUCACAUCUUGGCCAAAAUAAUUUGAAUUGUUGAAUGUGUCAGGUAAAUCAAGCCAUUACUUCUUAAGAUCAAAAAGUGCAUGCAUUCGAGUUCAUAGUUGUUUCUGACUGAUCAAAUCAAGGGAAGUGUUCAAGAGCAGCCUGGCUAACAUGAAAUUAAUUGAGUAAUUUAUUACGAAUCAUUUUAAAUAGUCUAGAUAUUCUUGUCCAUGUUGCAUAGAUGUCCACAGCAUUUUUUUUAUUCUUAGAGAAAACAUUGCACACAUAAAUACCACUUCCUUAAAUGAAUCAUUUAUAUUUUUCUCCAUUUACUCCCUAACCUAAGGUGGAACUAACAAAAGUGUUAAAGAACUGGAUAGAAAUAGUGAAAAUUAAGUUUUCUUUCACAAUAGAGUCAGCUGCUGGCAAUACUGGUGUAUGUCGAUAUUCCAUCACAGUAUCUAGAUGGCACAAGUGUUCAGUAAAUGCAAACUGUCUUCCCACAUCAGAAGAACACUGACUUUACAGCAUGUGAUUUCGGGUUUCUCAUGUAACAUCUUUCAACUUUACAUGGUUCUGUGUAUGAAUCUUCCAUUAACAUAUUGAAAACAUGUUUGAAUAUGUAUUCAAUGACUGAAUACAAUCACUGAGAGUUAUGUUCUUCAGGGAGAAUAAUUUCUAGUUUGCAUAACCUCAACUUACUUGAAAGAUAUUUCUCUGCUGAACUAUAUAUAGGAAAUGACUGUAUAUAUUUAAGAUAACGUACUAAUAAAUAUUUGCUCUAGUUGUCUUUGACUUGGUAGUCUGUUCAGACUGUAAAGUGUGGUUUUGAUGUAUAAAUACCUUAAAUACCAUGGAAGAAUACUUUUCAUCCAACUGUUCAAGGCACUGCUAUCACGUAAAACAAACAUUUGUAUUCAGAACAAAUGUUUUGUUGACUCUUGGUUGCUGAUUUUUUCUGAGUUCUCAGGAUACACAUACUGCUAAAGGCUUGCAAAUCUAUCCAAAAAAAAAAAAAAAUCAAAACAAGAAGACAUUUUUCUCAGUAUCUGACAUUUUAGGUGAACCAAAGUCUCAAUUUUCACCAAAAUUGUAAACUUCAGAUACAUCCUAAGAAGUCUUAUAUUGAAUAAUUAUUGCUGCAUAUUUAUCAAUUACCAACAUAAUAGAAAGUGGGCUGUAGUAGUUUUUAAUAUUUGAAUAUUUUAAGCAUUAAAUUAAAGAAAAUUAUUUGUGCCAUAUGUGUUUUUUAUAUAAAAUUUCUUUCAGCGAUUUUUAACUUUAUUUUCAAUCUUUUAAGGACUUUUUUUUGAGAAAUGCAUUUCUUAAUUUGUUUCAGAUUUGUAAUUUGUUUUGGCAUUUUCUGAUUGAUUUAUUUUUUGUGACAUGACCACAAUAUGUUGUUGACUACAAUAAAAAGCCAUCCUUAAAAUAGGUUAAUAAAUGUUUUGUUCAUUGUCUUACUGUGGACUAUAGCCCAGGAGACAGUAUUUCAAAUUGGUCUUAAGAAUUGCUCCAAAGCAUGUCAGGUUACAGAGAAUUCUAUGCAUAAAGGGAAUGGGUAUUUAUCCUUGCAAGCAGUUCUCCAUCAUAUAGCUGUGUGUCACUAGGUAUAAUUGGUCUGGUAAAAAUUAAGGUUUACUGAGUUCCACAUAGAGAUGUGAAAGACCCUUACGUCAUCUUAAUACAUUAUGUUUGUUUCUUAUCAGAUUAUUCAAAAACAUUGCCUGCAUGCCUCCACUUAACUUAUUUUCUGGUUUGUCUUGUUUUUGGUUUCUCCUCGAGGUCACUUGAGAUGGUCACAGAAGGCUGGGCAUCAGUCAUCUACUACAGUUUUAGUGCAUAGUAUGAAUUACCUAGAUUCAAAAUUAAUUUAUAAAGUACAAGAAGAAAAAUAGCAUUUUUUUUUGUAAGAUGGGAACCUUGCAUUAAACUAGGAACUGAAAUUGAUUAGGUAACCCUAGCUAACUAGGUAACCCUAGUUUUAUACAGUAUUUAAAACAUUUUCCCAGUCAUUAUAUUAUUAUGAAGUCUAGUAUCUUACUCUUGCGAGAAGUUGUCUAAAUUCAAAUGGUACUUUUUACAUGCAAUUUACUAGUAAGGUCAAAAUAUAAGUUUGGGACUCCUGGCUGGCUCAGUCAGUGGUCAGUUGAUUUCUGGGUCAUGACUUUGAGCUCCACGUUGGGUGUAGAGAUUACUUAAAGAAUAAAGCAAAACAAAAACAAAAUAUAAAGUUUUAAGAAAAGCUGAAUACUAGAAUUAGUUGGACUGUAUGUUCCUUAUAAAAUGAAGCAAAUAGUACUGAGGUUGAUAGGAAAGCAUUGUAAAAUUGUGAUGAUUUUCAUUGCCUAGAAAAAUAAACACAUCUGAAAGUGAAAGAAUAAGAAAAAAAAGUAAUUUACAUGUGGUAAAGGAAUACUAUCUGUGGAGAAGGAGGAAAUGAUAGGAAAAUUCAUUGGGAAUAUGUUAAUUAUAUAAGGAUCUCUUAACAAAUAGGUUGCAAAGUGGAUAAAAUGAUGAAUAUGCAAACCAUGAAUUAUUUAAAAUUCUUAAACUUAAAAAAGGGAUAAUAUUGACUGAGUUUCUCAAUCUUCUAGUUACAUGGAUACAUGAUUGAAUGUAUAGAUAUAUGGAUAGAGAGUGAGUGAUACAUCAAUACAUAGUGUGAAAAUUAAAAUUCCAUUGAAAGCAAAUAUUUUUAAGUUUCAUUAUCUGCUCACAAAAUCGUGUGCAUUAUUAGUCUUCUAUAAACAUAUUUUUGAUGUUUUUAUUUUAAAAUAAUUUUGCACUAGGCACACUGUAGCAAAUGCUAAAAUUUAUAUAUGUAUUUAUAUGUGUAUAUAAAAUAUGUAUAUAUUUAAAUAUAUACAAAUGUAUAUUUUAUCCCAAGAAAGAAUAAGCUCAUUCUAACCAAAAAAAAAAAAAAAAAAGACGGAAAUCACUAACAUUUUAGUAUGCAAAGGGAUAGAAUUUUAAUUCUGGGGUAAAACAGACCAAACUUUAAUUGUUUUGAAUUAAUCUUAGGCUUCUAGAUUCUGUCCUCAGAGGGCUUAGUUGACAUGAUAUGAUUUGUAAAAUGCAGCAAACAUUUUGGAGGAGAUGGCCCAACCUGUCCAGACUAUCAGAAAUAUCACUAAGAAAGAUGUCCCUAUAUUUUGAUGGUUUUUAUUUCUUGGUUCUUGUAAAGGUAUCUGGGGUACACGAUAAUCUCAUUUAAGCAAGUACUUUCAGUUUGAUGCCUUUCGUGCAGUUGACCAGCAUGAUGUAACAUAGGAUGUUGAGAUGAUUAGGGGUCCCUGAAGACCAAAUUAUGCUGUAGACCUGGAAAUUUAAGAGAAUGCUGAAACAAGACAGUGAAAGUAAAUUGUCGCUCUUGCCAAAGUGGCAAAAAAUGUUUUCUGGUGGUUUCUGUUUAUUGAGAUGUUAAAGAAAAAGUUCAUUGUCACUUGUUAGACCAUUACUAAGCAAAGAUGAAGGUAUUUGUUGAUUUUUUUUGCCAGUGGAGACAUCAUAUUGGCUGUAUUUGUAAUCACCACCUGAUUAAAUAUGUUGUUUGCCAAGAUUGUUGGUCUUCUACUCAGACCAAACAAGUCAUUUAAAAUAAGUUCAUGACUCUCAUUCUUUAUUCUUCUAUAUUUUUUUAUGGUGGCACUGAUUUCUACAGAGAUACAAUAAAGAUUUGUGCUUACUCUUUUGGUAGGAUGGAGAUACUUUAGUUUGGCCAUUACUAUAGUUUUACAGCUUUUGUUUCAAUGGGCCUCAAAGACAAAGAAAGCUUUCUUCCAUGUGCAAGGUAAAUUUUCCAAUAUACACCAGUGAACUGGUGAAAGGGUCAAAGGAUAGGAUGGAGAAGGCAUCACUAUGCCAGUUGUAAUAUGGGCUCUGGGCUGAAUCUUAUUUAAUCACAUUACCUCCAUAACAUCCACUCAGAUCAGUGUUUCUGAAUACAUAGGGAUUAAUGCUAGCUCAGGCACAGUAUUCAAUAACUGGUAAAAGGUUUGGUCAUUUACCCCUCCCCCUCUUUAUUUAUUUAGAAAUGGUCAGAAAUACUUUUCAGAAAAGCUGAAAGGCAGAUGGACAAUAUUAACAUAUGUUGCUAUUGCACAAUCCUUCGUGAAGGGCAAUCACCCUUAUUAUUUCACUGCAGCUUCAACUUCUGUGUUCUCAAGUACAGAGAAUAGAAAUGAUGGAGAUUUUGUUUAUACAUGUGGCACUGCGAAUUUAUUUCUUAUCAUUAUGAUAAGGAAAAUGUCUUCUGGGCCUUUCCUAAAGUUAUAAUUAGUGGGCAGUUUCAUAAGCCUUGAAAAAUAAAUCCACUUUAACACUUCUAUUUCAGCAGGUCAUUUAAUACCUUCUUCUACAUUAAACCAAGGAAUUCCAAGUUUUUGAACAUUAUUUAACAUUAGCCACCUUUCAAUCCAGAUUUUGGUCAACAAAUUGAAGAAACAUUUAGCACUCGUGCCAGUGACCUGGAGAAGCACAUUGAAUCCAGAAUCGUUAAUCAUGCAUUUAUACUAGCUGGAAUUAGAUUGCUUCUAGCCCCUAUGCAUCUGAGAAACUCAUAAAAUCCAUUUUUACACAUAUUUUCUAAGCUUGGGCAAACUUAAGUUAUAGAAUCUUGUGAGUUUCAUAUCCAAGAAGCUUCUUGCCUCCAUAUGACUAGAUAACUGGCUUUCAAAUUUAUGUCAGUAUCCUGAGUUCAGAUGGAGUAAUAGGUUUGGUCAGGAAGAGAAUUGUGUCCAUCUAUCAAUUAACAAUCUUAGAUAAGGUGUGGGCUUGGUAAUGAAGACAUGAAGGAACCACUUCCUCAGUCACAUGUGGAACAGCUGAAUCAGGUAGCAAGACAGACUCCGUAAGUUUUAGAAGUUGGUAGUAUUUUGAAUCAUCUGAAUUCUUCCACAUAUCUGCAUUCCAGUGCUCAGGAUUUCACUUUUUUUCCAAUCAGUGGCCUCAUUUCCUCAUAAAGCGAUGCAGUAAGUUCAAUCAUUUUUACAAUUCAGAAAUUCUGUGGAAUAAGACUUGGAUUUUUAUUUGUAGCUCUGUUAUCCUUUUCACUGUAAGAGGACUUUUGGCAGCUCAAGACAGUUGGAGCUGAAAAUUUAAAUUUUAAGUUUAUUUUAUUUCUUUAAAUUCGGUAGUACAGUUGGAUACAACCAAUUCUUCCCAUAUUUCUAUUUCUCAUGCUUUUAUAGUACUAAAACAGGUGGUAUUUUGUCACCCAAAACAUUACCUUCAAGAAGCACUUUAUUUGAGGUGACCACGGCUGAUGAAAUGUAUGUCAGGUAUUGUUACAUUAUCAGUCCUUAAUACUAAAUAGGCCUUUGCUCCAUUAAGAUACAGCUAAGUGACGUCAUAGGUUCUUUAUUCCGAUUCCCUUUAAGACUGUUACCCAAAACAUUUCUCUUUUGGGAAUAAUUUUUGUUUAUAAUGUCCAUUUUCUUAUGAACAAAGUCUACUUUGGCUGGUUUAAACAGAAGAGGUCUUUAAUACAGGAUAUUAAGCGGCUCAUACAAUCAUAGAGAAGAAGAGAUUCAAAGAUUAGAGGCUAUGUUUCCAGAAUAAAUGCUCAAUACUCUACUGCCAAGUUGUCCUGAUGAAGGGAAACAUUGCGACUACAGUGAUCAAGCAGACCACUUGACUUGACUUUAUUGUGGUGGGGGACUUGACUUUAUUGUCAUUACUGUUGCCCCUAGUAGCAUUGAUAUUUCAGUCUCAAACUUGUACUGAAAAGACUUCAGUAUUGUUACCAGAAAAUAUUCAUAUUUUGCUACCAUCUUCAUCAGUAGAAAGCCAAAAAAAAAAAAAAAAUGAGAACUUCAUGAAGAACCUGGUUUCUUAAGUUGCCUAUCUGAAUCUGUAUCUUCCCUGGGCAAGUCUGUUUGAUGGAUCUCAAAAUAUAUGCCUUUUCGUAGCAGAAAAGGAACCUGGAUUUUUUUGAGUUCUUAUUUCUAUGUUGGAGAUAUAAGGUACCUAUGUCAGUUUUAUAAAUACAUAAAGUGCCAUUCAAACGAUGAUAUACAAUGAAUUUAUUCAAAUUUGAAUGAAAAUUACUACAUGACAAUUGCUAGACAAGUUAUCUCUAAUAUUUUGGGAAAAUCUGUUUGUUUGAGUAAUUAAGAUUCGUUUAUCCAAACUCUUUCUUUUCCCCUUCCUUCCUUCCUUUUUUCUGUUUCUCUUUUCUUCCUCCCUUCCUUUGUUCUUACAUAUAUAUGUGUAUAUAUGUGUGUAUAUGUAUAUGUAUACAUAUGUAUAUGUAUAUAUUCAUAUAUAUGCAUAUUUAUAUAUUCAUAUAUAUAUGAAUUUUAUGUGAUAUAUUUUAUGCCUUUAAUAUAUAUAAAUAUUUGCAUUUCAAGUGUUGAGGGUUGAGUUAAUAAGUUGUCUCAACUCAUGGCACAUUACUAUCUUUGAACUACACAAGGCUCUCACCUGGUUUAUUGAUUUUCUUAUGUACUGCUAUUGUCUCAAAUCUGUCAUUUUCAUACAUGAAAGAGCAGAUUCUUAAUAUGUUGUGGUGUUUUCUGUUGUUGUUUAUAAGUAUUCGUAUCAAAUGUUUAUUUAAUAUUGUAAACAUAUUUUUAUUUUAAUUUAAUGGUAUAUUAAAUUUUUCAUUCUAUCUCCUCAUUUUUCACCAUAAUCUAAAUAUUUUGUGGAUCUACCCAUGUGGCUUUUGGCCAUCUGAUGUGCUGCUUGUAACCGUCACACAUUCACUAUACUCUACAUUAUCAGCUCACCCAGUAACAGAGCUCUGGAUUCUCUGAGUACCCAAGCUGUGAACAUUCUGUUUUCAUUUUAAAGUCCUAAUACAGUGAAUUUCAUUCAGUAUAUACAAAUUUUCUUUUAGAAAAAAGAAAAGAAAAAAGAAAACAAUAAAACUAGUAGACCACAUUUUCAGUUCUUUUCCCAUUUCACUGCACCAUGUACUUAAUAAAGUUUUAUUGCCUUGAAAAUGAAACACAGAGUAGAAACUGUGUGUGUGCACGUGUGUGUUAAUCUGUUGCACAGAGCAGUGGAUUAGUAUGUUGGUUAAAUUUCUAGAUUGUGGAGCCAAACUUUCUGGUUUCCAUACUGUCUUUGCCACUUACUAGCUGUGUGACUUGGGUAAGUUAUUUAGACCUACCAGACACUAAAUGAUAGUGUCUAUGACAUAAGAUGGUUGCAAGGAUUAAAUGAGUUACUAUCUACAAAACAAUUAGUGUAAUGCCUAGCAUGUAAUAAAGUAUUAAUAAAUGUUAAAUAGCAGCAUUUUAAGAAGACUUUCAAUAAUUUUCUAGAUACUGUCAGUCCAUGGGAGAACUAUGAGAUAAAUAGGUUUUAGAAUUUACAAGUAUUAUAUUGACAAACUCAGGGAGGAAGUAAAUAAGAUACAAGGAAAAAAAACAUUCAAAGGCAAAAAUAAACACAUACAAUCUCUAACUCAACAGAUAAAAAAAGCAGCUGCUUCAAGGUUGGAGGAGUAAACAAGAAAAUUAUUUUCCAAUAGUGACUCUAUCUUCAAUGAUUUCCUAAAACAUUGGGUUUUAUAUUAGCAUUGAAUUUUUUCUAACUUUGAUAAAAUAUCCAGAGCAAUAAUGUAAAGAAACAAGAAAAUAAAAUCAUCAAAGUAAGAGCAAGAAUGGGGAAAACACCUUGAAAAUUUAAAAAAAUAAUAAUAAUAAAUAAAAAUAAAAAUCAGACUGAAAGCUCAUAAAAACUAACAAAAAGCCACACAAACAAAAAAGAAAACAGACAAUACUUAUCUGAAUCCAAAUGUAUUAGGAAAAAAAUAUGAAUUUUGUUAAUUACAUCAUUAUUGUGUGUGGAUCAAUACUAAUUUUGGUCCAUUAUUAAAGUUUUGAAGGAAAACUAUCUAAGAGACAAAUGUUGUUUAAUUACAUAUCAUGGACAUCUCUACAUUGUCCACACACAGAUGCUUCUGUGACCAGAUUAUUAUUUUGGCUACCAAAAGAAGCUUCUAAUUUUGCCAACUGAAGCCACCCAUCUACAUGGAAAUUUGACUUAUGUGAGGUGCAAGUUCUGUGCUUGUUCCUAUGCCUAUGUGCUGUUCUGAAAACAUAGCUCAAAGAUGAGGCUCUAAUCUGAUUAGUUUGCACAUAAUUCAUCCCAAGGAUUAGUGGAUGGGGUAAAUAUUUUCAGAAACUAUCAAAAUUCUUGUUCGGUUCAGUGGCUUUAGAAACUUGUGAAAGAUUUGGUUUCUAAAAGGCACUUGAGAGCCUUCCGUUUCCUCUCUUUCUCCCUCCUACAGACUGUGGUGACAACGACAGAGACAGUGAUGGCUAACAUGUUUCAGCACUUACUGUGUGCACAUUGCCAUGUGAAGAACUUGAUUUGCGUUUUCUUAUUUGAUCCUAGCAAUAUCUUCAUGACAUAAUAUUAUUAUUAUUCCCAUUUUUAGGAUGAAGAAACUGACGUUUAAAGAUGUGAAGUGCUUUGCCCAAGGUCACAAAUCUAGUAAGUGAGGGAAUAGGAACCUAAACUAAGAAAUUCUUCCCUGGAGCUAUGAUACUCUGAAUCACUAGUGAAUAUUGCACAUGCUAUUUCCUUUACCUGAAACCUGUUUCUUUACAUCAUUGUCCUAGAUAGCUCAGUUUUCCGAUCUGCUUAAAUUGCUGCUUCCAGGAGAAAAGCUUUCUCUGCUUUCCAGCUUAGACAUACCUCUCUAAAAAUAACUUGAAGCACGAAGCACUGUAACUAUUUUCUCUCUCGUCUGUGUUUCUGGACUUGCCUUAGGGUCACAACAGUGCCUAACACUUGUGUUUGUUCAGUUUAUAAAUGAAUGGGUUUCCAUAUUAUGCAAAUUAGUGUUAUAAUUCCAGUUACUGGUAGUAAUGUUGAUGUAUAAUGUGUUUUAAAGAUUUUUGGAAGUCUUCAAAAAAUUCUGAACCAAAUUUUUGUUUGUGUUGGGUGUUAUUUAUUUAUUUAUUUAUUUAUUUAUAAAUUAAGGAUCCAGAGGCAGAGCCCUAAUUGUAAUUCAUAGGUUUAUGUUCUCCAGGACUUUAAAAUAAAAUAUUGUUAUUUAAGGUCCACCAAUCUGCUGGUGUGCCUGCUUUCUUAACCUCUCUUCUUUAGACACUCCAAUCUUGACAAAAGAAUUCACUGAGGAUGAUUGAACCCAUUCUAGAGAAGAAUUUUAUGUAAUGAUUGCUGUGCCAUUUAAGGGCAAUACAUGAUAUUUUCAGUCUUAAUGUGUUUAAGGACUCCACACCUCAAUUUGUGAUUCAAUAUAUCCACAGAAGGGCCUGAUAAUCUGCAUAUUCUCUCUCUGUCUCUCUGUCUCUCUCUCUGUCUGUUUCUGUCUCUGUCUCUGUCUCUCUGUCUGUCUCUCUCUCUCUCUUUCUCUCUGAUACACACACACACACACACACACACACACAGCUAAUGAUUCUGCUGCAGGGUAGGUUUGGCCCCAUUUAAAAACAAUGAUACUUGUGAGAGGUUCUGAUAUUUCUUUCCUAUCCUUCCUCUCUACGCAAAUAGUGACAACUCCUUAAUCAGGUUUGCUUGAUGUUGCUUUUUCCCUAAAGCUGUCUACAAAAUAUCUGCUGACAGUCUGUUUUCACACCAGCAAGGAUUUUGUUAAUACUAUUCUUUCCCUCUAAUCUAGUUACUCUAUUUUGCCCAUUGCUCACCUGCAAGCUGGUUUUAAACUGCUCUUUCCUGUCAGUUCUGGUUGCAAGCUGAUUUCCUAUUCAACAGAAACAUGGUCAAUGAUCCAUUUCCUCUGUGAACCAUCAAACAUUCUUGUGGCUCAGCUCAGAAUCAGAGCAGCUCAGCAUUUGAACUAUUCAAUCAUUUAUCUCAUUGGCAUGUAUGCUAUGAACUUAUUUGCGUAAAGAUGCAUAUUGUAGAUUGAUAUGCAUAGAAUAUCAAUUUCUUUAGAACCUUUACUCUGAAUUGCCAUUGCCCUUUAUUACUAGUCCUUGAGAACUAAGUUUCAAAAGCAUUCCCAAUGGCCUGGUAUCAUGUAAAUCUUCUUGGUGUGCUCUUUAGAUGUAUUAUAAUAGUGAAACCAUAGAUGCAAAAUCAUGUUUAAAUUAAGCAUACGCCUGAAUUGUCUAUUAAGUUCAAAACAAAGUUUACUUAGAAUACGAAUUUUUUGCACAAUUUAUUGGAAUGACUUGUUCAUGUUAUUUUCCCAAAAUGGACUGUCAUGCAUUCAAAUACACAAUAUUUAUUCAGUACCUCCUGCAUUCAUUAUACUCUAUUGAGCAUUCUAAAAGGUACACAAGUAUUUGAAGACAUGUUUCAUCCUUACACUAUUUUAUCUGCCCACUGAAGAAUUAAAUAAGGUCUAAAAAGGAAAACAAUUAGAAAAGAAUUAAUGACAAUUUGGAUAUUAAACUGAGAAAUAAUAGCAUCAGAUUCAUCUCUGAAUGACAUUAUGCAUUGACUUGUUGACUUCACAUUAUCUUUUUUUUUCUAUUUUGUCUCCUUUAUCACAUGUACAUCUGUAAAGUCGUUCAUUCAAAUCCACUAGUCAUGAUAUACAGGUUCAUUUAUUAAAAAUAGUUGACAAACCACUUUUUAACUGCCUUUAUGUCUAUUUAAAUGGUCAUGCCUUGUUUGGUAAACAUCAAGAAAGCAUAAUAAUCUUUACUGAUAAUGGCCUAUUGUUGAGUGAUAUACUAACACAAAAUGAAGUGAGAAAAAAAAUAUCCUAAGAUUAUUUGACUGUGGAGAGCACUUUCAUUUACUCUGUUCUAUCUAAUUAUAUUAAUAAUUGAAAGUAUAUCUAAUUUUAUUAAUAAUUGAAAGUAUACUUGACACAUUUUUGGAAUGCAGCUGAACAAGCUAUUUUGUAGCUUGACACAAUGGUCCUAGUAUCUUCUUUAUCAAAACAAGCAUCUAACUUGAGGACUUUUUUUGAAGAUAGGAAUAUUUUCCAUUAAACAAAAUAUACUUUGAGUGCUAGCUUUUUGAUCUUUUUACAAAUUUUCCUCCAUUAGUAAAAAAAGAGAGGCUAGUUUAUUUAAUCUUCAAGCUUAGGAGGCUUUGCAAACUGAUGUUUAAAUUAUGAAUAAAGCAAUGAUUUCCUUUAGACUUGUGGUACAGAUCAAAUAUAAAUAAAUAUUAUUGCAACUGUGCAGUUUUUCUGCUUUAGUUAUAUCUGCCUAUUCAAAGUACGUGUCAGAAUUACUAAAAAAGGACAAAAAAUAACAAGUAUUGGCAAGGAUGUGGAGAAAAAGUAACUUUCGUGCACUCUUGAUGGGAAUGUAAACUGGUACAGCCACUGUGGAAAACUGUAUUGGGGGCGGGGCUCAAAAAAUUAAACAUAGAAAUACCAUUUGACCCAAUAAUUCCACUGCUGGGUAUUUACUCAAAGAAAAUGAAAGCACUAAUUCAAAAAGAUAUAUAUACCCUUCUGUGUAGAGAUAAGAUAUGGAGCAACCUAUGUGUUCAUCACUAGAUAAAUGAAUAAAUAUACACCUAUACAUACAUUAGAAUAUUAUGCAGCAUUAAAAAUGAGAUUUUGACAUUUCUGAGAGCAUAGAUGGACCUAGAGGAUAUUAUGCUAAGUGCAAAAGCAAAUAUAUGAUUUCACUCCUAUGUGAAAAAUGAAAACAAGACAAAUGAGUACACAGACAAAAAGCAAAAUCAAACCUGUAAAUACACAGAACAAACUGAUGGUUGCCAGAGGAACAGGGGUUGGAAAAAUGAGCAAAAUCGGUGAAGAGGAAUGAGGGAUACUGGCUUCCAUUUAUGGAACGAAUAAGUCAUAGGAAUAAAUAGAAUCAAUAAUAUUGCAAUAACAUAUGGUGACAGAGGGUGGCUAUACUUGUGGUGAAUAUAACAUACAGAGAUAUUGAAUCACUGCCGUACAACUGAAACUAAUGUAACAUUGUGUGCCAACGAUACUCAAAAAGUUUUAAAAAAGUAAUAAAGUGAAUUUAGAGGAUCUCUAUUUUUUAAGUAGUUUUUAUUUUUCCCUGAUAAAAUAGUAAAUGAUAUUCAAAGAUGAAAACUUUUAUUAUCCUAUAAAGUAUUAAUCUUUCAGGUUAUAAUUUCUGUCAUCAAUAGUCUCUUACUUUUUUCUAAUUUUUUUUGUUUAUUUCUUUUGUUUAUUUUUUUGUUUAUUGUUCUAGUUUAUUUAUUUUUGAGAGACAGAGUGAGCAGAGGAAGGGCAGAAAGAGAGGAAGAUAGAAUCCGAAGCAGGCUUCAGGCUCUGAGCUGCCAGCACAGAGCCCGACGUGGGGUUCGAACUCACAAACUGUGAGAUCAUGACCUGAGUCUAAGUCAGAUGCUCAACCAACUGAGUCACCCAGGUGCCCCAAUAGUCUACUCUUAUUAAUAAGUCUUCCUUUGUUAUUAGUUAUACUUAACUAACCCUCUAUAGAUAUAAAGGGAAAUACUUCUAUUUUAUUUUAGUUGUUUUUAAUUUUUUUAAGUUCAUUUAUUUUGAGACAGAAAGCACUUUCUCUAAUGGGGGGAGGGGCAGAGAGAGACAAAGGGAGAGAGAGCAUCUGCAUCCCAAGCAUGGAGCUUGACAUGGGGCUUGAUCCCAUGAACCAGGAGAUCAUGACCUGAGCCAAAAUCAAGAAUUGGAUGCUUAACUGACUGAGCCACCCGUAUCACUGAAAUAGUUCUAUUUUAUACAGAAAAAAAAAAAAACUGUCUCUAAAAAGUAAAUUGGUAGUAUUUCAAAGUUAUCAUGGUAAUGGGUAUUGUGGUAGUAGCUUAGUGAUUUAUUUUUUAAACAAUCAAAAUUAUGUGUGAGAAUAAAAGGAUUCAAAAAUUAAAUGAGUAAUUUUUAACAUUUUUAAUAUGAUGCUGAUAUUGAUACUUUCAGAGAGACACUAGUCAUUCAGUUGUCCAUGGGAUUUAUGUAUAUAUCUCAGGGGAUUAGGACUGAAAACAUCAGUGGGUUGCCCCUUAAAACUGUGCAUCACACCUUAUGUAGUUGGUAGGAGACUUUAAUGUCAUGUAGCAUGACUUUACUUUUUAAAGUCUUAUUAUUAAUAUUUCUGGCCCUACCAUUACUUUAUCUCUUUUAAAGAAGAAAUCCAACACUGUAUGUUACUCUGCUGCCUUUAAUUGGGAAGAUAGUAUUCACAAAUUUGGUUAUUGUACAGAUAGUAUUCACAAACGUGGUUAUUAGUGAUAGUAUUCACAAAGUUGGUUAUUAGAGACAGUAUUCACAAAGUUGGUGGUUAGAGAUGGUAUUCACAAACUUGGUUAUUGUAGAUAAAGUAUUCACAAACUUAAUUAUUAUAAGGCAGCAGAGAAAAUAAAUGUUCUACUAUUAUGUGUUUACAAGAUAUCUCACAGUCUUUUUUAGUUAAUUCCAUAUGAGAUGAGAUUUUUGGACUCAAAAUUGUAUGAAACUUUAUAAGGACUAACCAUGACUGUUUUGAAAAACAACUACUGUUUGUUUUGUUAGAAAAUGACUUUGAUAGUACAAUUAGACUCUGGUUUAACAACAAUUUACCCUUCCUUGAUUUUAUUUGUUUUGUCUUAGCAAUGUGAAUAGUUUUUUCAUAUUGAAUCAAAAUUUAUCAUAAAAUUCUUGACUAAAUGUUUUUUACACUUAAAAAUGUUGGCAAUAAUAAUAAUGAUUGUAGUAGAAACACGUGACUCUAUAUGCCAAGUUGUUCCAAAUUUAUAGAGACAUGUUAACUACAUCUCUUUAACAAAAUAUCUAAAAUAUCUUUGGUGAGAUUGGAAAUAGCAACGUAAUUUAUCCUUUAUUCCUGAAACUGGUCCUCUCCCAAAUAGUAAUGCAAUAGCCCUCACAUUCCUCACCUACAUUCAACCCUUACCUUUUGUUCUGAGAAACUAAAUGGAUUUCACAUUCAUCUAAUACAACCAUGACUUUGGUUUUUGAAUUCUCCUAUAUAAGAGCCAUUUUUUUCAUACAUGAUAUUUUCUAAAAUACAAAAAACAGAAGAGAUCACCCAUUCAUUAUCUUAUUUAUUCCUCAUACCAAUUCAUUGAAAUAUUUAAGCUGUUUCUCUAUUUUGCACACAAGUAAUAGACUAGAGCUUUAAAGUCAUAGUUGCUUGACUCUACAGUAGCCAGGAAGUUGUAAGUAACAUAACUUCAACUAGAAUGUAUUUAAACAAUACAGAAAAUAUAUUUCAUCAUUGAAAGGUACACGUUUCAGGAAGAGUUUGGUCAUGGAUCAGGCUCUGUUUUUCCAAGAUUUAUACUGCUUAACCUUCUUCUGGAUCUGCUUUGGCUUAGGAUGGAAUUCUCCCAUGGUAGUAAAAUAGCUGUAGCAAAUUCCAGACCUCAUAUAACACAUCAUACCAGAAAGAAGGAAAUUCCUUGCCCUCCAUUUAUCAACCAAGACUCCUAGAUUUCAUUAACAGGGGCCAGCUUGAAAGACUGAACUGAACCCAUCACUGUGACGAGGUGUUGGGAAUAAACCAACUGGCGCAUUCCCCAUAGACCACCCCUUGGCCUUUCCAAGAAUGCCCCAGAGUCAAUCCCAUCAAAACUGAAACUGUGGCACAAUAGAGGGUACACGGAAUGCACUUGGGGAUUAGAACUCAGCUUGUUUUCUUGGCCACAUGCAGUGUUCUUUAUUCUAAUCCAUAAAUGUUUUAUGAAAGAUUGUCUAAUAGUAUUUCAAGUGUCUUCAUGAAACACUCAGCUCCUGGAACACCUAGCCCUUCUUUUUUGAAAAACAAAUUUCUUUUUUGGAUUUUUUUUGCAUUUCAUUUUGUAAUUUAUUUUAUUAUACCCAUCAAUUUGUACAUUUUUAGUCCUCAAAGUUCUGCCCUGGAGACUUUUCUUUUCUCAAAAAAAAAUUAGGAUAUUUCACUCCACAAACAUGCAUGACUGUGGAUAUAUAGCAAACUCACUCAAAUUCAGUGACUUAAAAUAACUAUUUUUUAUUUUUUUUACAAUAUGAUGAGUCAACAGUCUUAUAUAUUUCUUAGGAUUCAUCACAAAUAUAUCCUUAACUCCCUUUAUCUAUUUCACCUAUAAUAAAUGACUAUUUUUUUAAUGUUUAUUUUUGAGAGAGACAGAUAGAACAUGAGUAGGGGAGGGCCAGAGAGAGAGAAGGAGACAUAGAAUCUGAAGCAGGUUCCAGGCUCUGAGCUGUCAGCACAGAACCUGAUGCAGGGCUGGAACUCACGAACCACAGGAUCAUGACCUGAGCCAAAUUGUAGCCAAAUUCUAACACCAACAGAGUCACCCAGGUGCCCCAGUAAAUGACUAUUUUUGUUCAUCAGUCUACAUAUCUGCUAGGUAUUUCAUCUUGCCUCAGACUACUUACUCCUUCCUACACAGCUGUUGGUUGGAUAGUUGACUAUAUUAGGUUUCUAUGGCUGUUGCAACAAAUUAGCACAAAAUUAGUGUCUUAAACAACAUAAAUUUUUAGCAUAAAUUUCUGUUAAGUCAGAGUCCAACGGGAUCUCAUUAGGAUAAAAUCAAGAAUCUCCACAAAGCCAUGUUUUCUCUUGGGGGUCAUAAACUGUCUUUGCAGCUUCUAGAAGAUGCCUGCAUUCUUCAGCUUGUGGGCCCCUCUCCAACCUCUAAGCCAGCAAUGUUGGCUUAAGCCCUUUUUGCAUUUCCUUUCCCUGACUUCCUCUUCUGCCUCCUUCUUCAUUCUUAUGCACCCUUGUGAUUACAUUGAAUCAGCAAACUGACUUAUUUAGGAAGGACUCGGUUGGGAUAUCUGGGCUUUUCUCCAUAUGGUCUUUCAAUCUGUAGUUUGUCUCUUUGUUGAAGUCGGGUUUCCAAGAAAAAUAAGAUGUCACAUGUUGCUUUCUACUGGCUGAAAAAAGUCACAAGGCUGGUCCAGUCCAAAAGAUUCUGCAAUCACAUUAAUGCCUCUGGUUUAUUUUCUAGGCAUGGAAGCUCUCUAGUGCUUUCUGACAUUCAUAUGUGUUGUUCUGACUGGUUGGCAUUAAACCAUUUCUCUCUUGCUUAUCCCACUGAAUGGAAGACAAGUUCAUCAAUUUGCUUAGGUUUGUUAUGGGUAUGGUCCAUUUGGAAGCAAAUGGCAAAGUAAAGUCUCAUUCUGCUUGAGUGCCAUCUCUUUUAUCUAUUUUUUGAAUAACUACCUUGUUUAUCUCAUUGGUGGUUAAGGGGCUGUCACUUUUGCAUGUCUCAUUUAUGCUUUCUGCUCCCAGAUGUGAAAAAUAUGUGGGGAACUCAUGUGGACAACUAUCAGCUCAAAUACACUGAGGUGGCUUACCUAGAAGGGAAGGGAAGUACUACAGAAAGAAUGACUCCAUCCUGCCUAAGUAUCUGACUUUAAUAACAGGAUUGUUGCCCAUAAAAAUUAAGAGAGAGAGAAGUAACCUGUACAAAAAGUCUCCGCUUACAAUCAUUUAUCAUCAGGAAAUGUUUGGGAGUGGCCAUAAUCUUGGAGUCCUUUUAGAUGUUUUUCCUCCCUCUUCUCCACACCCAACCAUCACUAAAUCCACCCAUUCUAUACUUAAAUGAAUGUAUAGUUCAGUUAUUUCCCACCCAUUCCAUUGUUAGUACUGUGAUUCAAACCUGUUAUUUUGUAACUAAAUUAUUGCAGUGGUUUCCUAAUUAAUCCCUUUAUUUUUCUUUCAGAUCUUUAUAAUUUAUUUUCCACAUAGCAGCCACAGGUAUCUCUUUAAAAUGUGUCAAAUGAUAUCACUUCCUUGCUCAAAACAUUCUACUGACUCCCUAUCUUGCUCAAAGUAAAAGACAUGGAUCUGUAGUGUCUGGACUUUUACUGCUUCUCUGGCUGACCUCAUCUCCCAAUACUUUUUUACCCACUUACUUUCCAGGUACAGUUGCCUCCUUGCUUAUCACUGAACUUCCCAGGAAUGUAGCAGCCUCAGGACUUUUAUAGUUGCUGUUACUUCCGCCUAAAACCAUCUUCCCUCAAAUAUCCAUACAUCUUUCAACUUUAACAUCAUAAAUACAUUUUUCUCAAAUAUUUUUUUUCCGAAGUGUUUCAUGACAUCCUCUUUGAUAUUGUAUGUAUAUGCUUUUGCAUGGGUGUGCAUGCACACACACACACACACACACAUGCACAGUCUCCCUCACUCUGACCUUUUUUAUUCUACAUAUUGAGUUUUUUUUUUUCACAGCACAUAUCACUUUCUAACACUGUAUAAAUUAUUUAGUUGGUAUACUUUUUGUCUCACCUUGAGAAUGUAAGUUCCCUUAAUGCAGGAAGUUUACUAUAAUUUCUUGCCGAGAAAGGUACUUGUACAUAGGAAGAACUUGAUAAUUAUUUAUUAUUGUUAGAAGAAUGAGUUAAUGCAUGAAUAACUAAAAUUCUUGAAAGGUGUAUUUUUACAAAUACAUAUUUGUCUUUGAAAAUCCCAAGAUAUAUUGUUUUAUCAAGCAAAACAAUGACCUCUUCUUUUUGCUCAAAUUAUUUGCUUACCUUGCAUUAAAAGAUGUCAUUACAUAAUUGGACAUCAGAGGACCCCAUGUGAGAGACAUCCCCUAGCCUCUUACUACCUCCACUUUUUGAUUGAUUAGCUCCUACUCAAUCUUUAUCUUUUAUCUACGCUGACUUCUUUAAGGAAGCUGUCUUUGAUUCAUCAAAUCUGAGAUGAGGCCUCACUUCAGAGUUCUGGCACUUUCUUCCCUUACAUACAAAUGUGUUGCAAUUUGCUUUCUCAUAAGUCACUCCCCCUAUGCUUUAAGCUGCUUAAGGGCAGAGAUUAUACAUGCUUUAUUCAUAACUGAAUCCUCAGUGUCCUGAAUGGUUCUAAUAUAUAAUAAAUGUUCAUAAGUAGUUUAAAUGAUUAAGUAAAUGAAUGCCAUUCAUUGAAAUGUUAUUAAUUUUCAAAAUCAGGAAUUAUUUUUUAAUCUCAUUUUAUCAGUAGAGACCUGAUCUCCUGUAAAUACUAAGACCAGUUCUUCCUGACUCUUCAGGCACCCAAAAGAAACUUUGGUAUUCAGAUGGAAUUAUCCUAAUUUUGCCAAUUUACAGUCACAGUUUCUUCAUUUUAAAUAAUCUUGCCUGAUUUCCUCUUAAAACAGUUAAAAUACUGUUGUACCUCAUGGUGCAUGCAUUAUUCAACUCCACAAUUAAAUUAUUUCAUAAGGUGUUACAUCAAAAUCAUUGUUAGGUGAAACUAUCACAGCUUUUUGUUCUUUUAAUUCUUUGUAAGAUUGUGUAAAUUAUUAUCUAUUUAGGUUAGGUUAAUUAAGUGCCUUAAAAUAAAAGUGCCUGCUUGUCCUUUGUGUUGCUUUAUCAGUUCCUUGAGGCAGAAUUCACAUAUCUUCUUUUUAAUUUGUAGGCAUGCCAGUCACUUAAAAUUGGCUCUGAAUAUGAAGAAAAAAUUAUAGAAAAUAAUCUACAUAAGAGAAGACUGACGAGUUUUCAAACUUAAUUAUUUAUAAUGAAUAAAACUGAGGCCAAUCAGUGCACAUUUGCAGAACUCCUGUGCUGUACAUUUUCAAGUAUUUAUUACUUUAUUAUAUGCCUGGAGUUUCGUUUGUAUUCUUCAUCAUACUCUGAAACUAUGGCUUUGCUCUUCUUCAAAUAGGUGAAAGGCACAGCUUUAGGAGGUCUAGAAGUAAAAGUGCAUUUCAGAUUAUUACACUCUUUAAUGGGUGUGGGAUUUUUUUUCUGUGUGUGUGCAAAAACAAGUAGAUUAACAAAAUCAUUUGUUAAGCCUUAAUUAGUGAAGAAGAAAUUUAUAGAUGAAUUUUAAAUUUAAGAGUAAGGAAAGAUUUUGCACUAAUUUGCAGAGUCGUCUUUGAUGUCUACAUUUAAGAGUUGUGGCCAUAGCUUUUUUAUUCCUUCUCAGAAUCUCUGUGCACAUAGGCACACAUUGUCUGGCAUUAAAUCUUAAAUAUAUUCCUACCUAGGCCAAGAGAAAAAUAGUCAUGUAAAAUAAAUAACUAAAUGACAAGAGAAAAAUCCCAUAAAAGGUUUUUUGUAUGAUUCACAUUGUAAACAAUGACUUUUGACAACAUCUAAAUGGAUUUGUGUUUAAAUGAGGACAGUAGAGCAUUAAGUAAUUGUCAAACGCUACUCAGUCAUUGGAAGGUCCAGUGCUGUGGCACCCAUGUCCCCAGAAUUCCCAGUCGGUGGGUGCUCUUCACAUUUCACCUCGUUGAUCUCUUUGAUGCUUUUCAUUUCUAAUACUGCAAACACUGACUUAAAAAGAUUCCUACUGCUUGGAAGAUUUUUUAUUAACAAAAGUGAUGUUUCUUACAACUUCCGUAGACUUGUUUCAAACUCAUUGCUAUGGCAUAUCAAAUAAAUAAAAUCCAAUUUGGACAAAAAGAUUUACAGAUAUCACUGAAACCAGGAAUUCCAUCCUUGUUAAUGUCACUGUUAAAUGCCCAAGUAAAGAAUCCUCUGUGUUGAAUGGCUUCCCAAUGGCUUUGUCUGGGAUAUGGAAUGAAUAAAUGUGCAUUACAGAAGAACACAUAUAUUACAAGUGAUCACAUCUUCAUUGAAAGAAGUGUAACCAGUACUGUUCAGUUUAUUUGCAAAUAUAAAUUAUAUAUGCAUAUUUUCAUUUCGCAAUAUUUCUUUUUGUCAAAUAGUAAACAUAAGUUACAACCUCAACAAUAAAAAUAUAAAAUGAUACUCACUUCUGUGUACUAUACACUGAUCUUUUGAGGAAAUAUUAAAAUUAUUUUCUUAUGGGUCAUGGCUAUUAAGUAUUUUAUAUUCUCAAGAUUGCAUUUACUAUCAUAACUUUUUUAGAACCCUCAAUAAAGUGUUUGUUUUCUUUUUUCUAUAUGUACAUAGCGAUUUGUUUAAGCUUCUAAUUUCUAGAAUAAAAAUAAUGGCUAUGGUAGGAUAUAAAAACAUGGCCAUAAAUUCUUAAAACUCCUUCCAUCCAGAGGUAGAGUCUAUUUCUCCAACCCUUAUACCUGGGCCUGUUUGUGACUUUUGUUAACUAUAGAAUGCAGUGGAAGUGAUAUGUAAAUUCUGUGUCCAAGGCCUCUAAAGACCUACAGCUUUCUCUCCCACCCUCUUGGAACAUGUUCUGAAGAAGUCUGCUCUAGCUUUCUUGAGGAUGUGAGAGCACCUGAAGAAAGAGGGCUCCUCCAACCUUCCCACAGGAAGCCCUAACUUGGGGGUGAGGCAAUGUGGAAUAAGCCUACUGCCCAAGAGUUCUGCAAAAUAAAUGUACCCAUGACAGUAAUUCCAGUAAAGAACAGCAGAUGAAUCACCCAGCCAAUGCUUAGAAUUAUGAGAAAUAGUAAAUCAUUGCUGUUCUAAGUCACCAAAUUUCUUUGAUCGGCAAUCAAAAAAAUAGCCAGUAUCUCUGGUGUGUUUACAAAAUACUCCAACUACUUUAAGCACUUAAUGAACAUUACUUCAUCAUCAUCUAGAUCACUCUGUCAAUCUGUCAAACUCUCUUCAUCCUUUUUGGUAUGCAUGUGCUUAAUUCCUCCAGUACAGCCAUGUUCUCCUUGGCUAACUGCAUAAUUAUUCAAUAUUAAUUAUAUUAUGUCACUGUAUCUCUGCAGACCGGACCUGAGUUUCUUUCAUGAUAAUGUAUCAUUAGCUUUUAUUCUCAUUCUGUUCUUUCUUGUAUUUCAUAACAUUUUUAUGUCCAUAUUCUAAAGCUUAAGAUUUUUAUCUCUCAUUUUUAAAUGUACCCCAUUUUUGAAGCUGUCAGUGAAGUUUUGUCCUACCCAUUAAAUGUGCCAUUUGUAUCUGAGGCUGCAAAGUUUAUAUAUCUUUUAUGAAAGUCAUGAGUUAUAGCAUUAUAAGCUAGAUAGUUUGACUAAUAGCCUUUAUUUUCCAUCUCCUCCAUUAAUCUGCUCUUUUGUGAUACGUUUUAGUGAAAUUUUUGUAUGAAUAAUAUUUUAAAAUAAAUACUUUAAAAAAUAACACAAGAUAAUGUUGAGGAAUCAUUAUUAAUUUACCUGUUAUAUGUUCAGCAAACCUGAAUGUCAAAAAUAUGCUAGAGCAAAAUGGAAGUCCUUUGAAAGAAUGGUAAAUUUAGAUAUAUAACUUUUCUGUGCAAAUACUUGUCAUUUACAGUGAUUUAGUAUCUAUGAAUAAAUUACAGAAAAACAAACAUGCAAACAUACAACAAACAUAAAAACUAGAUAGCCAAAUAAGGAUAUAAUGAUAUAUUGAUAUAAAGAUAUCAUUAAUUGUGCCUAGACUUAAAAUCCUCAGCACAAAACAUCCUAGGUUUAGACUUUACUGUAGUCUUGAUGGCUACCUGUGGAUUUGCAGUACAUCUCUUUUUGGUAAUUGUUGGUUUGUUUUUAAAAAUUAUUUUAAAUGUUUUAUUUGUUUUUGAGAGAGAGAGAGAGAGAGACAGAGUGCGAGCAGAGGAAGGGCAGAGAGAGAGGGAGACACAGAAUCCAAAGCAGGCUCCAGGCUCCGAGCUGACAGUACAGAGCCCCAAGCAGGGCUCGAACUCGCGAACCGCGAGAUCAUGACCUUAGCAGAAGUCAAUGCUUAACCAACUCAGCCACCCAGGCGCCCCUUUUAAAAUUUUUUAAAAAUGUUUUAUUUAUUUUUCAGAGAGAGAAAGACAGUAUAAUUGUUGGUUUGUUAAUAAGUGAAUGCAAAUCUCAAAAUGUUAAAAUUCAGGGAUGUGGUAUAACAUUGAAGAGAUAUUUAUAAUAAAUGAAAGUGCAUUGAUCAUGCAAAAAUUUGUAGUAAAUGUUUAUGUUUUUUUUCUAAGUGUUUGUGGAUAUUUUAUCACACAUAGAACAUAUGACAUUGAUAGUAAAUCAGUGAUUGCUCACAGUAUAAUUAUUGUGAAAUGUUUACAUACGAAACCUGAGUACCAAAUCACAAAAAAUACUAUCUCUAAUAAAAUUUGCUGUAUAAUCUAAUUCUUCAUCCCUCUUAUUUCAUCUCAAACAUGCACACACUCAAAUAUGUAUACAUACACACACACAGUUACAUGUUCACACACAAAUACAAACAACCUCUUCUACCAUUACUAUUAUAGACAAUGAGAGAAACAUACAUUUAGUUUAAUUAACUAAUUCCCAGAUGUCAAACAAAUGCAAAUUAUUUGAAAAAGUUACUGUAAACACCUAGAAGUUUAUUUGUUUCUAUUAACCUAUCUGUGAAGAUAAUGAGUAAUACUAUAUUUCAAAUACCUGCAUAUUAUGUAAAAUAUUUAAAUGUGCUGUUGUUGUGUAUACACUCUAUAUAGCUGUUGACCUUGAAAAGUCAUUAUUUAUAACUAAAAGCUAUUGAGUUUUUAGUAUGUUCCACCCACAAGGCUCAGUAAUUUACAUUCAGUACUUAUUUAAUUCUCUAGCUUCCCAAGUGCAGUUUUCAUUUAAAGGUAAGAAAACUGAAGCAUAAGGAAACUAAGCAAUUUUUUUAGUAGUAUUACUUAAUAAUGGAACUGAGAUUCAAACUAUGUCUGGAUAUCUCCAGUCAGGUGUUUAAACUCUUAUUUGGUAGUGUGAAUGUAAUAUAAAAUAGUACGUAUUUGAAAAUAGACUACAUAGUGUUAUAUUCUGUAGCACAUACAUAUUUAAUCUUCCUAAAUAUAUUUCCAUUACCAGGAUCUAUGUACAUGUAUGUGUGUAUAUUUUUUAAAAAAUCAAAGCAUGAUUAUUUUGAAGAUAUUGUAUUUCAACUGGAAAGAGAGUUUAAGAAUAUAUUAUUUUCAAAUUUCCCAGGCUGAGGUUCAAAGAUAAUUCCAUAGAGAGGGUGGAUUAUUUCAAAAUAAGAUUUUGGUAGGGUUUCAUAAUAAUAGCUAUUAUUCAUAAUAAUAGCUCUAGGUACCAAGCCCACUCCCACCUUUGUUUGUUUGUUUGUUUGUUUAGGUAUAUGUGUAUGUCUUAACCAUGUUGGAUUGGGUAACUAUAUUUUUGGUGAUCAACAAAUGUAUUUUACCUUUAUUGAUUCUUCUUGGAUUUUGCUGAUUUUAAGUUACUUCUUCCUUAGGUUUCCAUUGUAAAAAUUUCUAAGUCCCCAACAUUGACUCUAGUGGCUUGGUGUUUCUUUAAUUCCCAUUAUAACAAAAGAGAGACUUUAAAUGCUUACACAAAUUUAGAUUUUUAUUUUAUUUUUCCUAUAUUUGGAAAUAUAAGCAAUAUUUGUAGUGGUAAAUAACCUCAACGAACUGCAUAUCAUUAUGCUAUAUAUUUCACUCUUUUAAUAUCCUGCAUGAAAGAAGUAACAAGAAAAUUUGAAAAUAAUCGUGCUUAGAAGUAAAUCUCCCACAUAUGACUAGAUGGUUAAGACCACUGACUUGACACCCUCAUAAGAAAGGAUGGCCUUAUCUCCAUCUAAUCAUUCAUACUUCCAUUGUGCAAUUGGUAAAAUAGAAAUAUUUAUAAAUACAGAUAUAUGAAAGAUAUAUGAAAAUCCCCAGAGAGCAAUAAUUGUGCAUUAUAUACCACACUUGAGGAAAACUGGAAAGUAGUUUCCCAUAAAUCUGGCUUAAUUUUUAAGUUUUUAAUUAUUAUUUGUUAAUGUUUAUUCAUUUACUUUGAGAAAGGCUAGAGAGAGAGAGAGAGAGAGAGAGAGAGAGAGGAGAGGAUCCCAAACAGGCUCCAGCACAGAGCCUGACAUAGGAUUCCAACUCAUGGUGAGAUCAUGACCUGAGCAGAAAUCAAGAGUGGGCCUCUUAACUGACUGAGCCAUCCAGGUGUCCCAUGGCUUAAUUUUUUAAAUUGCCGUUUUACUUUUUCUUUAGUUUUCAUUGUAGUGAUCGGAUAUGACAACUUGUGAAGGUUAGAUCAGAAAAUUCAAAUUGAAGCCCUUUAGUGUGAUGCAUUAUCUCUCUUGCUUAGUUUCUAGGUCCAAUUUGAAGUAGGAACUAAACUAAAUAUAGAAUAUGAUUAUUAUACUCCUUGGGUGUGUAUAGUACGUAAUUGGCCCUUAUAUAAUCUCCACAGGCAAGAACCAAAAUAAUUGAGAUUUCUGAUUAAGCUUUCCUUGAUGACCUUGUUUGCAGGUUUCAGAAUGUGAAAACAUUCCUGAUGAUUCAUCAGGAACCAUCCUGAUUCCUAGUCAGGAAUCAUGACUGAUUCCUAGUCUCUUGAAAAACCAGGUGUGAAAAUUCACAUGCAUUUUCAUUAUAUGGCAUAGGCACUUACAAUUACUGAAAAAUUAAUAUUUGGAAGAAAUAACUUUAUAUUCAAAUUCAUAUUAAUGCAGAUGUUAACUCAUCUAAUAGUAAUACAAUCUCAUAUCCUAGAUAGAGUGAAGCAGGCAUAAAUAAAUCUUAUCAGUAAAUGAUGAAUUAUAUAAAAGAUUGAAUCAUGUAUAGAUGAUACUUACAUUAGCCUUAUUUCUGUUCAUUCAUUUUAGUUUGUAAUAAUUGUGAAUACCUACUAUUAGAAAGAUACCGUCCUAGACAAUAUUUGAAAUGCUGAAAUAAACCGUAUCUCCUGCCUUCAGUGAGUAUAAAGUUUAAUAGGAGAAAUUACAGAUAUAUACAAGCAACUAAAAGAUAGAGUUGUAAGUAGUUUCUAUUAAGGAGAUUAACAAAUUAAUGUGGACAUUCAGAAGCAAUAGUAAUUAUUUCCAGAUGAGAGAAUCAAAAGGUUUUAUGAAGGAGAUGGUAUUUGAAUAAGGUCAUGAAAUAAAGGUAGAAUCUAGAUGUCUUGAGAUUGAAAAGAACAUGCCAGCCUGUGGAAUUAUACUCUGUAAAAGCAGAGAACUGGUAUGUCCAGGAGCAUAUAAAGAAUUUAAAAUGCUCUAGUUUGAUGAUGCUGUAUGUGAGACAAUGAGACUAUAUGUUUUGAAAAGUGUGUUGGUACAAGAUUUUGGAGGGCUUUAAUACUAAAAUAGAAAUAUUUUAUUUAAUUCUGUAGGCAUUAAAAAUACAUUAAUGUUUCUUACUAUGAAACUAACUUUAUUCCUUCAACUUUUUUUAAGACAAAAUAAUUGAAAAGAAAAAAUUUUAACGUGAAAAAAUUCCUUACAGUGAAAGUUUCUAUAGUCAUUUAUCGUAUUAUAGGGACCCCAUUUAAGAAGGUUACUCUUAAGCAACUCCUAAAAAAUGAAUCUAAAUUUCGUACAUUUGUAUGUUACACUGGCAUUUCAAAAAAAAAAAAUCUAGGCUCCUGAUGUAGUAGAUGUAGUGUAGGUUAAAGUAUAUUUUUAAUAAUUGUGUACACUAAUUCUUAUGUAGUAUGUGCUGAGUUAUGCUUAGCAAACCACUGCUUUAGGUUAUGAGACUCCUCAGCGAACAGAAAAGCAGUAAUGCAUGUAGGAAAACACACUGGUUUGAAAAUAUGAGCUCUUGACUCUUCUUCUGGGAUAUCUAUUUAAAAAUGAUUCUUAGUAGGGCACCUAGGUGGCUCAGUGGUUAAGCAGCUAACUCUUGAUUUCAGCUCAUGUCACUAUCUCACAGUUCAUAAGGUUGAGCCCCAUGUCGGGCUCUGUACUCACAGUGCAGAGCCUACUUAAGAUUCUCUCUCUUCCUCUUUCUAUCUGCCCCUCUCUUUCUUCUUCUCUUUCUCACUCAAAAUAGUUUUUUUUAAAAACUUAAAAAAAUGAUUCUUAACAGAUAUUAGCUAACAUAAAUAGAAUAUAUUGUUAAAUCAAAGAGAAAUUUAUUGGGGCUCCUGGGUGGCUCAGUUGGUUAAGCAUCCGACUUCGCAUCAGGUCCUGAUCUUGCGGUUUGUGGGUUCAAGCCCCGCAUCAGGCUCUGUGCUGACAGCUCAGAGCCCGGAGCCUGCUUCGGAUUCUGUGUCACACUCGCUCUCUGCCCCAAUCCCUCUCCUACUCCCACUCUGUCUCUGUCUCUCAAAAAUAAACAAAAAUUAUUUUUUUUUUAAUUCAAGGAGAAAUUUAUUUCAAUAGUGCAAGAAACAGGGGAAGAAUAAAUCAUUAUUUAUUUAUAUAUCUUAUAGAAUACUUAUUUUGCUUUCAUAAAAUAAACCUUUCAGUCCUUUUAAGGACACUAUAAUUUAGGUAUAGUGUUUUCCCCAUUUAACAGUUGAGGACACUGAGUUAGGUAACUUGCCUAAGUCACAGAGCUUGCUAGCAGAAGAUCAGUCUGCAAGCCAGGCAAGCUGAUACCAGAUUCCUUUCCAGUAACCAAACACAGUGCAGUUUCUUUAUGUAACACUCAAAGUACUCCUCCCCCUUCACUUCUUACUGAAGAAAUGAGUCCACAAGUGAGAGUGCCCUUUUUUUCCUACCUCUGAGAAAAAUAAUAUUAGUGUAUUCGGAAGGUCAGUUCUAUGGUUAUCAUUUCUUUCUAUCUGUCCUUUGUGGGUUACACUGAUUUACAUCACACCCUAAUAAAACAAUGAUAUUUAUAAUGUGUAUGAUAUUUACUGCUGCAGUGAGAUAGCAAAUAUAAUCUUGGGGUUAUGCAUUUUCAUGUACUGAACAGUUUAAUCAGAUUGAAAGGAAGAAAGUAAUGGUUUCAUGUGUAUCAACGUGCUUCCAUGGCUUGAAAUGGAAAGAAAAUUUUCAUUUAUUACUAAUCAAGUUUGAUAAAGUGGAUAGGUGACAUAUUAUAAAUCAACUAAUAGCGGUGUGUUGUGUGUGUGUGUUUAUUUAGCAUGCUUUUUCCGUUUAUAGCUGAUAUACUUUGAUAGAAUCAUAUUUGACUAAAAUAAUUGUGUUUUAUGCACCUUUUAUGUUGAUUAAAAUUUUAAUUAAACAUUUCCAAGACCCAUUAAUUACUUGGCUCCCUUCAAGCGCUCCCAUCAUAAAUUAAGCAGCAUACGUGAUUAGUUAAAAAUACAAUCUUCUUGUGACACACUAAUCAGCAUUAACAUUUCAUCAAUGAUUCUAAAACAAAGUGCAUGUUUUUCCUUUUUAUUAGUCUUUAAACAAAUUGGAGAAAACAGAACAGCUACCACAGCAUGUUUAGAAUCAUAGGGUAUUUUAUACUAUUUCUUUUUCUUCCAUUCCGAAGGAAAAGAAUAUUGAAGUACAGGGUAAAAAAGGAUUCAGAAAUAGAACCACAGAAAUUAGUGCUGUGAACUCUGCCAAAGUUAGGCAAAGCAGUAAAGAUCUGCCUCUGGUAUAGAAAUCCCCUUUGCUGUUUUCUGAGAGGUCUUUCAGUGCCAGACUGGCAGAACACUGUUCAGGCAUUCACUCUGAUUGCCCCUAUUUUCAAGAAAAUUUGCAUAGUAGUUAUUCAUACUGAUUCAUGGUUUCCUUUAAACAAGUUUCUCUCUCCUCCCAACUUUCCUUUUGGCAGCCUUUACUACCCAGUUAAGUAGGAGAAGAAUGCACUUGUGAAUGGCUCUCAAAUCUGAUCUUUCCUCGAGGAGGAAAAAAUCUUUCCAAAUUUAGUUUGUACACAUAAAGAUGAGUAGAUUUUCAUCAUCCUUGUUUUUUAAAUAGAACAAAUCCUAGUGAACAAGUCUUAGCCUUCUCCUGCAUUAAGUUUUGUCUAGUGGGCAUCUGACAUUGAUCUGAGCUUCAUAAACAUAUAUGGAAAGAUUUUCCAUUUGAGGAUUUACUUUUCUUCCAUAUUUGCUGAGGUUCAUUGAACAUUGCAUAGGACCGAAACUUUUUGCAUGCUGCAGAAUUUGCUCUUUGCCCUUCAGAAUUUUUCUUGGUUUGGUAUCUAAUUAUUGCAACAUAUAUGAAUAUAUAAUGUUUUCCUUUUUGAUCACCACUAAUUUUUCAUCUGUUUUUCCCAUAACAACUGUACAUCUUUUCUCCUCAGCACUUCCAUUGCUGGCAUUUUUUUUUGCAAUCAAAUACAUGAGAUUAAAAAUGUCCUUGAAAAUUUUCAUAACUAAGCAAAUGCCCAAGAAACAUGGUUGAUAAUUAGAAACCUGGUAAUUUUUACUUAAAUGAUUGCCCACAACUGUUCUCACCACCAGAACUUAGCUUUGUGCACAUGGAGUUCUUGAGUCACAAUUACAUGACUCAAGUUAGCUUGAUAGAGAAAGCAAUGAUUUGCUAGCCUAGUAGCUGAUCAAAUCAUUAUGUUCCACCCCUCUCUCAUUCUUUCUUUCGUUCUCUACAUAUAAAUUUCGGUUCUAAAUUUUCUCAAUUCUCAAGAAAGUUUGUCACUUUGGCCAAGUUUUGUAUUGAAAAUGCUGUAUCUAAUGUAUUUUCUGUUUAUAGAAUCUAGAAUAUAUUAUGAUUUGAUGGUAUUAGGAAAAACCAUGCUGUUUUUGUGAGGUAAGAAUAUUGCUCACAGUAAUCUGUAUUUAGGUACUAUUAAUUCAGUAAAUUUAAUAAAUAGUUUUUCUUCCAGUUCUUCAUUAUUUUUUUGAAAUUCUGUGCUUUACCAGGGAAAUUUCAUUGAUCCAAAGAGUUAGCAGAAAAAUCAAAAUCUUAACAUUGAUUUAUUUUCACUUCUUUUGGAAAGAAAGAUAGGUAACAAAUAAAUCAAACAUAUUAAAAAAAUCUCAAUACUCAGUGGAAUAUUUCAUGUUUGCUUAGAUUUUACUAUGCUAAUUUUGUAAUAUGAUUUCUAUACAUAAACAAUUUAAGGACAAUUUAUCUUUUUUAACUAGGAUUUUAAAGUACCUAUAAUUUUCACAUGUGCUAAUAUAGAAAAAUUAGAGACAAAAAUAGCUUACAUUAUGAGUAUCAGAAAAUGGUUAACCAUGGAAUGCAAAAUUGCAAACCUGUGUGCAUUUAACUGACAAUAGUUACUUGGAAGGUGAAGGCAUUUGAAAAUAAAACAUUUCUUUUUUUCAUUAUAGUUCAAAAAAUUAUGCUCAUUUAUUACCACAAGCUUCCUUUAAAAAUGUUUUCCUAAGUAUGUAGAACAUUGUUUAUAUGGAGAAAGACAGGAGAAAGCAUUUCCUAGAAACUAUUGCUCAGUGAGAAUGGAAAACCUAGGAAAGAAAAUCAAUGCUGACCAGCUCAGCACAACUUUCUUCUUUUCUGAAGGGGAUUUUUUUUCUUCUUCUUUAAAAAAAUGUUUGUUAUUUUACUAAAAAUAUGUAGAUGCUAAAAAGAAACCAGAAUUAAUAGAGUGCAAAGCUGUUUUUGGAUGUGACGUUUUUGAUCACUCUAAUCUCUUCAUCAUUCCUGCUCUCCUCCUUUCAAUUUAAACACAUACAUUACUCACUCAUUUUAGUUUUAUUACUUGCAUUCAAGGAAAAUGACAGUUUAAGUGAAUGUGCAGACAUUAAAACUUCGCUGUGUAAUUUUUAAUUUAUGAAUUCCCACAGCCAUGGAAUAUUUAUUAUUUAUUUUGUUGUAUUUUGUGUUUUAGCUGAGCUAGUGAAUAUACUUUGCUUUAAACAAUGAUCUGUCUCUGUCACGAGCUUACUUAAAAUAGCUAUCCCUUUUCCUGCUGUUUUUUUCAGUGUGUGUGUGUGUGUGUGUGUGUGUAAAUUGAUGAAUACUACACAAUAAGUUUUCAUACCUUAGCAUUAAAGUUUUUAUAUGAAUUACAUUUUUACUUACUUUAAGAAUAGGCAUAUUAAUCUAUUUGACAUUUAUUGUAAAAGGUAAAUAUUUCAUGUAGAAAGAAAUGUGUAUUAAUCUCCUGUUUAAAGAAUUAUACAGAAAUAGAUUAUAAAUUUUUACUACUGCUACACUAAGUAGAAAUUACUGAACUGGUUUAACAAAAAAACUCACCAGUAAAAUAUAUUGAUAUUGUUCACACCAUUUUGAGUAUAUGCUGAAAGUACAUGACACAUUCAGUGGAUUUUUGUUUUAUCUCUACAGUCCAUUUUCCUAAUGAUUCUAAAAUACUGACUGGAUAGAUUUCCUCUACUCACCUAAUCAAAUAUCAUCUUCAUCUCCGAAAUUAUUUUAAUGAAAUGAGAUAUGAGUUUUAACUCUCAAACUCAUAUGAUUUUGUGACAGAUACAUUAUUAGCUUGAUUAUGGUGAUCAUGUCUACGUAUAUUAAAUCAUCAUUGUUGCACACCUUUAAUAUGUACAACUGUUAUCUGUCAAUCGUACUUCAAUCAAGCUGGAAAAUUGUAUUAAAUUAAAAAAAGUAAUAUGACCAUUGGAAAUUUACAGGAGAAAAUUAUAACAAUUAAACUAGAGGAAAAAAAAAGAAGGACAUCCCCCACCCCCUUGUCCCCCAGUGCUUUUUGAAUAUUCCCUGCCUGCUUCCUCCUGCAGGUUUUCACAGACUCCUCCCAUUCUUGGUCGUUCACCCCUUCUCUUAAUUGGCAACAUCUGAAAUAAACAUUCAGGUGGUAAACAUCUGAAAUAGCCUAUUUAUAUGUAUCUGACCACAAUAUAAGGCCUACUGUCCUUGUGCCAGAGGUCUUGCUGUGUUAAUGCUAUUAUUCAGUGGGGAGAAAAAUCCUGUGUUAAGAGCUCUUGACUAUAGUUAUGAACAGUUGCCAUAAUUUUAAUAGUGCUUUUGAUAAAAUAGUUCUACCAGGCUCAGAAAUAUAUUUGAUUUGAUUCUUGUUUUAUAUUGUUGUUUCUUUCUUAGUUAUAAAUUCAGUUAUUAUAAGUGCUAUUCUAUCCUUUGAAUGUCAUAUUUAGGUGCAGAAUUGUUUCUUAAAUAUAGUUUUCAUAUAACUUUGAGUUAAUACACCUUGAAUCGCUAUAAUUAAUGGCUAGCAAAAAUGAAAGUGUUUACUUUGGUAGAUAGUUGGGUUUGUAAAGUGUGAUUAACAUGUAAUAGAGUGAUAUUGUUUCAGAAUUUUGGAUGAAUUAUUUAUUUUCUUUUGUAGAAAUAACACAUGUAUUUUGAAGAUACUUAGGAAUGUGGUGUAAGAACAAGUAUGGUUUUCCUCUUUCUUUCUUCUAUUCUUAAAAAAAAAUUUAAAACUACUAUUGCCUUUUGAAUAGUCAAUACUUGUGAUGCAAAAUAUCCACAGAAAGAAGCUACUUAUACAAAAGUGACUGAAGCCACCUGAUCUGUUAGCCCGGUUUUAUCACGGAAGGAUGGGCACUUCUGAACAACCUCUGGGGUGUUUUGUAAGUCUUUGAAGUAUCAUUAGAAGGUCUGCAGUAAGGAAUAAGGUUUCACUGUUAAAUGCUUCAGGCAUUAGUCAAAACGGGAGAGUCAUUUUCCCUCAUGCAUGAAGACUCUUUUAAGAUUGUAUAAAGUUAUACUUAAAGAGCAAAGCACUAUUUGCGUUUCAAUUUUAAGUCAGAGAACAGACGAGGAAAAAGUAACUUAGAAUCUGUACCCAUGAAUUCUUUGUCACAAAUAUUUUAAAGUUCUUAAGGAGUAGUAUAUUCUUUUCUGAGAUUAGAAGUGAAUAAAUACAUUGGCUGGGAAAUUAAAUGGAGAAAUCAGUAUGCCGGUGACUUCAUUCUGUUCAGACAGUUGUAUUAAUUUGUUAGUGUGUCACUGUUGUUUUUUAGUUCAAAGAACAGUAUUUUAAUAUUUUGAUCAUUAUCUCCAAUUUAAUAAUUUCAUACAAUUCAUAAUUAGAAGGGCAAAAGUUGUUAUUUCUAAUAUUUCACAUGAUCACACGUUCCAUUCUGCUUUGAAUGUACAAGUAACACAAAUGACAACUAGAUUUUUACCUUGUUCUAAAUAUCAGUCCCUCCGUGUCAUGGCCACAGUGGUUUUACCUAUAGAAUACUGCUUAUGGAUCGUGGUCCACUGGACAUUGAAAUGUAGAGUAAUAUAGUGCUCUGUGUUUCACUUUCAAUUAUAGUAAUUUGUAAUGGUGAAACAAUUUUUUAAAAAGUAUAUGUGAAUUAAUGUACUUAAUAAUAAACUGAAAUACAUAGAAACAUUUAUUCUCAUUAGCUUAAAUUAUCUUUAACUCUCUAAAAAAGGAUAACAAAAUAAAAUAAAAUAAAAUAAAAAAGGAUAACAAAAAUUCUAUAGUUAAAUUGACUCUGAUUCUUUCUUCUUCAGUUUCUUCCUAAAAGAAACCAAGAUCCUGAAGUGUGUGUGUACUGUUUGCAUGUGUGUUUUUGUAGUUUUACUGCAAAUACAGUCCUCAAUAAAAAAUAAAUACUUUAACAUUUUAUAUACCUUGAAUUUUUCAUCUUUUUUAUUUUUGGUACACACUUAAUUUUUUCGCACAGCUAUAGGUUGACAGCAAAAUUGAGAGGCAAGUACAAAGAUUCCCGUAUACCUCCUACCCCUACAUAUGCAAAGCCUCCCCUAUUAUCAACAUCACCCACCAGAGUGGUAUGUUUGUUGCAGUUGACAAACCGACAGUGACACAUCAUAAUUACCCUAAGUCCAUAACUCAUGUUAAGUUUCACUCUUGAUGUUGCACAUUCUAACAUCUUGCUUUUUCAAUGCUUUUAAAACUAUUCCAGGUUGAUACCUCAGUUAGUUUGCUAAGACUGACCAAACAAAGUACCACAAGCUUCAUGGCUUUAACAAUAGAAAUUUAUUGUCUCAAAUUUCUGAAGGCUAGAAUUGCAAUAUCAAGGUGAUAUUGAAAGGGCCAUGAUAUUUCUGAUAGUUCUUUGGCUUAGGUCAGUAAUAACCCCACUCUUCACAAGGUGUUCUCACCUUCACAGAGGGUCUAAAUUUCUCCUAUUUAUAAAAUACAGUCAUAUUAGAUUAGGAUCCACCCUAAUCACAUUUCCAAGUCAGAUCACAUUCAUAGGCACUGGGUAUUAGGACUCAACAUCUUUGUGGGGGGAUGUAAUUCAAUUCAUAACAAUAUCUAAUAUCAAUCUUACUGAAUAUAAUAGUUGCCAUAUGAUUAUAACACAGUAUAUCUAUUCCUUCACUGAAGAAAAGUGAGAUUUGCCAACUUCUUUUUCCAUUACAAUCUUUGGAUCUAAUGCAUAGAAUUAGAUUUCUUCUGUUUUAAAUUUUCUCAUGUUUUCAAAUUUCAGAGUAUACAAUUUUUUUUAAUGUAAAUCAGUGAGAAAGAUGUCUCAAAUUCUCAGGAAUGCUUAAAUUUUGAGUGUCAAAGGUAGCUCAUUUUGUUUUUAUUUGCAUUUUCCUGAUUUUUUAAAAGGUAUUAAAACUUGUCAUAUAACUUUUGGGAUUUGGGUUUAUUCUAUGAAUUGACUAGUAAUUUUUAAACCAUUCUUAUGUUGGAAUAUAUUUUUUAAAUUUACCUUCACUAGAUAGUAAUUUUAUUGGUUUUAAAUUUUGUUACACAUUAUUUUUUUAACAUGUUCAAAAUUUUCAAUCAUUUCCUUAUAGUUUGUACUUCCUCUGUCAGUUAAAAAAACUAAUUUUUAAAGAUAUAUUUUUAUCUCAAAAUUUAUAUUUGGAUUUUCACGUAAAGGCCUUUAAUUCAUCUAUAAUUUAUUUUAUUGUAUGUUAUGAUUCUGAUGUCACGUUAACACAAAUGAUUCAUUUUCUUGAUGACAUUUCUUAAAUCAUUUAUUAUUUCCUUAUGGACUUUUAAUAAUGCCACUGUAAUAUAAUGCACUCAUAUAUACAUGACUCUUUUCCUAGACUCACCAUUGUGUUUCUUUCAUUUAUUUUUAAUAAUUAUAAUGUAAUAGUUAUAGUAACUAUGGAUAAUCUGUGAUGUUUGUAUCCUCUUUCUUUUUUUUUGGUGAUGGUGGGGUUUGUGGCUCUUCUAUUCUUUUGCCAAAUGUUGACAAAAUACAUAAUUUUUUUCAUUUCUGUUGAUUUACUUCUCAUUGUUCUAUGGAAUAGCCUAUUUUCAGUGUAAAUUGUAGCUUAUUUGUAAAUGGUCUUCUUUUCUGGAUAUCUUAAAAUGUUUCUUAUAUUUGUGGUUUUUAAAGUUUCCAUAUGAUAAAAUUGAUGUUGAGAUUAUUUUCACAUCUAGUUCUUAAAACACAGUAAAAUUGGUAAAAUGAGGGUAUAUGAUAUUUGCCAGUUUUGGAAAUUGGUCACCUUUGUUUCUUCAAAUCUUGUCUUCUCCUGGCUCUUCCUGUUCUCUUCUUUUGAAACUCAUGUUAGAUAAAUUCUGAUUUUUCUCAUAAUAUCUCCCAUGUCUGUUCCUACUUAAGAGGUCAUAUUAAAAUAUUUUCAUUUUGUUGUAAUUUCUUCAGAUCCAUCUUCUAGAUCUCCUUUUAUCUGUAUUUUCUUUGACCGACAAGGAUAAAUUUAUUCAAGGAAUACCAGAAAUUCCCAAUAACUUUUUAGUUCACUUCUUGUCAAAUCUUGAGCUUUUCACAAGCCAGUGGGAUGAUCUGAAACAAAGAACUCAACAUGUUCACCUGUCUGUGUUGGCAAGGAAUGAGUCAUGAGUGUCCAUUUUUAAUUUAAGUUGUCUAGGGAAAAAUAAUAUUUAGUAUUUAGUAUAUUUAGUUUCAGCCAUCUCUAGAUUUUAGCAAUUUCUACUUCAAUAAAAAGCAAUUAAAUUGUGUCACUCUGAAGUACAGUCUUUGGAAUUAUAAUAUAUACUUUAUAUAUGAACUAUCUAUCUAUCAUAGGUACCUCCUCUAAACCCCCCCUUUUCAGAGUAACAACUGAGACAAAAGGAACAAUAAAUUUGUUUGAUAUCAACCAUAAUGGUGUCUAAAGUACAUUGAAUGCCAUAGUGUUUAUUUAUUUGCAGAAGUAUUUGUAAUAUCUAAGUAAGUAUCAUGGUCUCCACUCAACAGCAGAUACAUGAAUGGAAAUUUCUGUUACCUUUUAACAGGUUUAUUAUCUCCUGACACACACUUGAAUGUAAUGUUUUCAUGUAAGCAAAGUAAGCUUUUUAAAAUGCGGGCUUUGUGAUAUCACUAUUUAUUUUUUUAAGUUUAUUUAUUUUGAGAGAGAGAGAGAGAGAGAGAGAGAGAACAGGGGAAGGACAGAAGAAGAAGGAGAGAGAGAAUACUAAGCAGGCAUUGUGCUGACAGUGCAGGGCUCCAUCUCACAAAUCCUGAGAUCACAACCUGAGCUGAAAUCAAGAGUCAGUCACUUAACUGAGCCACCCAGCAUCCUGAUAGCAAUCUUUAACUGUAACUAUUAAAUAUCCCCAAUUAGUUUUAGAUAUAUUCAAACUCCUUAGUGUAGUUUAUUGGCUCUAUGUCAUUUGUCCCUGUUACCUCACUAGCCUCAAAUCUCAUCCUCUCAUUUCAUAAUUGGUGUUGCCGCCAUAUUGAAACAUCAUAUGCUGGGGCUCUCUCUCUCUCUCUCUCUCUGUCUCUCUCUCUCUCUCCACACAUACACACACACAUACACACAAGAUGUCCUUUUUGUUGUAAUAUAUUCCCUGUACUCCUUUAAAUAGCUUAUAUCUGCACAUUAUUCAUAUCUGGAUUUAUAAGUCAUUUUCUUUGGUGAAACUUGCCUGCUUCUUCCUCUGCAAGAGGUGUUCUACCCAUGUGCUUGUGUGGUACACUAUGAUACCACAGUAGUUAAUUCCCAUAGUGCUACAUUUAUUACCACUGCUU